UGUACACAGAAUCCCACCACUGAAUCUUAUUUUCGGUAAUGACAUUGGGAAAUUGUAACAAAAUGUCUAAAAAUUAAUUUAGAAAUGGGGUAAAUACUAUUAAAAAGCAAAUUUUAUUUUAGUCAUAAGAAAAUGUUGAAAUAUACCAAAAAUCUACUAAUAAAUAUUGCCUACUAGAAUUUUUUAAAAUAUAUCAAAAAUCUACCCAAAAAAGUAGAAAUCUACUAAAUGUGGCAACGCUGCACUAACAGCGCUGGUGAAAACCGUCAAAUCCCCUCUCCUCUACCCAUGGCGCGCCAUUUGAAUUUAUCAGAUAAAUGCACAAAACUGCCACUAACAGCGCUGGCGAAAGCUGUCAAAUCCCCUCUACCCAUCGGCUCAUGGCCAAUAGUCGGAUGUUUUUCUUUAAACAAGUUGAACAUUUUUGUAAUAUUCAAACUCUCUGGUGUUCAAUGUUGCCCUUAGUUACACCAUGUAUUGACAUGAAUGCUUUAAAACACACAUUAAUUUGUUGGGAAAACUCCAUUACGCUUAACUAACUUCAUUGGCCGUGUUCUAACACUUCAGUCUUUGGAGCUGUGGUUGUACAGAAGCAUCCUGAAGAUACCAUGCACAAAGUCACCAAUGAAGAAGUACUACGGCUACGGAGGAUGAACACAACCGCAGAUAUGGUCAACAUCGUGAAUAACAGUAAGCUGUAGUACUUGGGACAUAUAAUGAGAAAUCAAGGCAGAUACGAGCUACUCCAAUGCAGUUUACAACGUAAAAUUGAAGAAAAAAGGUCCCAGGACGAAGAAAAAUAUCCUGCCUUGCUAACCUGAGGGCAUGUUAUAGAAAGAUCUCAACACAACUAUUCCAUAGUGCAACAGUCAUCAAAUGAUCGUCAACGUUCGGACGGAACGGACAGGCACCCUAAGAAGAAGAAGAAGUUUCUAACAAACAUAAACAAAGGAAACUAAACGAUUAAACUCGAAAUAAAAACGUUAA